rnacentral:sRNA from 1 species
AGCGCGGUGUUACGAAGAUCCCCUCUGCCGACGCCGCGACGUCGGGUGCAAAACUCU